ensembl:snRNA U2 U2 spliceosomal RNA
AUCCCUUUUUGGCCUUUUGGCUAAAAUCAAGUGUAGUAUCUGUUCUUAUCAGUUUAAUAUCUGAUAUGUUCUCUAACUGAGGACAAUAUAUUAAAUGGAUUUUUGGAGCAGGGAAAUGGAAUAGGAGCUUGCUCCAUCCACUCCACACAUUGACCUGGUAUCGAAAUACCUUCAGGAAGAGUGCACUCUCC